rnacentral:rRNA from 1 species
GCGACUAAGCGUACACGGUGGAUGCCCUGGCAGUCAGAGGCGAUGAAGGACGUGCUAAUCUGCGAAAAGCGCCGGCGAGGUGAUAUGAACCUUUGACCCGGCGAUGUCCGAAUGGGGAAACCCAGUGUGAUUCGUCACACUAUCGUUAACUGAAUACAUAGGUUAACGAGGCGAACCGGGGGAACUGAAACAUCUAAGUACCCCGAGGAAAAGAAAUCAACCGAGAUUCCCCCAGUAGCGGCGAGCGAACGGGGAGCAGCCCAG